rnacentral:rRNA from 1 species
UUUUGAUUAAUAAUUUAAAGUCUAAUCUGCCCCCUGAUAAUAUAUUAAAGGGCUGCAGUAUUUUGACUGUACAAAGGUAGCAUAAUCAAUAGUCUCUUAAUUGGUGACUUGUAUGAAGGAUUUAAUGAGAUAUAUACUGUCUCUUUUUAAUUUAUAAAAUUUAAUUUUUUAGUUAAAAAGCUAAAAUAAAUUUAAAAGACGAGAAGACCCUAUAGAGUUUAAUAUUUAAUUAAAUUGGAAUUAUUUAUAAAAUUUAAAGUUUUAAUUUAUAAUAAAUAUUUUGUUGGGGUGAUAAAAAAAUUAAAAGAACUUUUUUUAUAGAUUUACAUUAAUAAGUGAAUAAAUGAUCCGUAAUUUACGAUUAAAAGAAAAAAUUACCUUAGGGAUAACAGCGUAAUUUUUUUUUUUAGUUCAAAUAAGAAAAAAAGUUUGCGACCUCGAUGUUGGAUUAAGAUAAAAUUUAAAUGCAAAAGUUUAAAAUUUUUGAUCUG